CAGAAGUUAGUUAAACUUAUAACUUAUAUUUGUCAUAUAUAAAUCGCCUUAAAGGUACUUUUGG
rnacentral:tRNA from 1 species